GGCGAAGCCUGACGCAGCAACGCCGCGUGAGCGAUGAAGGUCUUCGGAGUGUAAAGAUCUGUCGUGAGGGAAGAAAAGUUUUGAUGUUCAUACCAUUCAGUCCUGACGGUACCUCACAAGAAAGCUCCGGCUAACUUCGUGCCAGCAGCCGCGGUAAUACGAGGGGAGCUAGCGUUGUCCGGAAUUAUUGGGCGUAAAGGGUGCGUAGGUGUCUUGCUAAGUUGAUCGUGAAAUCCUUCGGCUCAACCGGAGAUCUGCGAUCAAAACUGUCAGGAUUGAGUUUGUGAGGGGUGAGUGGAAUUCCUGGUGUAGCGGUGACAUGCGUAGAUAUCAGGAGGAACACCAAUGGCGAAGGCAGCUCACUGGGCCAAUACAGACGCUGAGGCACGAAAGCGUGGGGAGCAAACAGGAUUAGAUACCCUGGUAGUCCACGCCGUAAACGAUGAGCACUUGGUGGUGGAGGAUUCGACCCCUUCACUGUCGGAGCUAACGCGAUAAGUGCUCCGCCUGGGGACUACGACCGCAAGGUUG
rnacentral:rRNA from 1 species